CUCUCUUAUUUAUGUUUUUGCAGCUUUUUGUGGCUAAUGUCUGGUUUCACAAUGUGGUCUCACAAUGCCCUCAAUGUUCUAAACCUUGUGUUAUUUUUUCUUCGGUGUACAAAAAAGCUAAGUCGUAGUAUUUUGCUAUACAUACCUCAAGUUUUGUAUAUAGUUCCACUUUUUGAAUGGCAUAUCAAAAUCAAGAAUUAAAUAAAGAACAUUAAAUGUUUUCAUUGUGUACAAAAUUGAAUCCAACACAAUUGGCCUCAAAUCUAACUCUGAUUUUCACCUAAAGAAAUUUUGGUGAUUGCCCCAACAAAUGCCAAAAAGAGCUGCCUCAGUGACGUCUUUUACCGUCAUCUGCACUCGGAACCUGCAUAUUGGAACUUGAAGAAUGUUUUAACUUAAACACCGAUUUCUAAACUUAAUGUAUGUAGUCUAUACAUUAAAUAAUUUCUAGUGAGGAAAACUAUUAGAGAUAUGUUGGGCCGGAAGAUAUGUAUCUUACGGAUCAAGACUGUGAAGCCCGUGAAACUCAUGAAGACCCUCAAGACUAAAAGGAAAGAUUUGAAGAACAAGUUACUCUCAAGAUAUUUUAGCAUAUUUACAUUAAGUGUUUAGGAAAAUUAGUAUUAUCUAGUGUUAACAUUAUGUUAAUGUUAUCACUAUAUAUAUGAAUAUUGUAUUCUCUUAUCAAACACAACACAAUAAUAUAUCUAUUCUAUUUUACUUUACAUCAAUGUUUUUAAAACCGGACCGGCUAGCGAACUGAAAUUUUUUUGGGUCAUGGGUCAUUGUGGUUCGACCGGGUCUGAACCGGGUUCGAUCGGAUUUACUUCGAUUAAACUAAAUUUAAUGAUAUUUUAUAAAUAAUAUGCAUAUUUUUUUAAAAAAUAGAUCAUAUCAAAUAAAAUGUUUAAAUGGCCAUAAUUUGUAGAAUAACUUAAAAAUAACAAUUAAAAUCUAAAAUCAAUAUGAAAAGCACAUUUAAACUUUAUUCGCAGAUCUUCAUCACCUUUUAAAAAAAAUUAUAUACACAUUAGGUAAAAGUUAUAUUUUGAAAUACAAAAUUUCCGAAAUGAAAAUGUUUCAAUUAUUUAGUCUUCAAAACAAGUGAUCACAAAAUAAAAAUUUUAAAAAAGAGAGAAGUAGACAAAAACAAUAUCUUGACGUGAAUAUUAAACUUUGUGAAUCUUGUAAUUUAUGAGUUGUAUAGAUGACAAAAUAAAAAGACGAGAGAUGAUACUUUAUUAAUCUUUGAUAAGUCCUAUUUUUAUUUUAAAAAGAAAAAAAAUUAAUUGUUUCAUUAUCAAAAUUUUGUCUUAUAUACGAACCGGGUUCUGGCCGGUUCAUUGGAUCGUCGGUUCCCGGGUUUUUGACGGUUUGAUAGGGGGUUUUAACUGGUUCAAUUUUAGUUGGGUUUUAUCAUUAACCCAACCCGGAUUUUUUUCGGUUCAUGGUUCAACCCGGUUCGGUCCGGGUUUAAAAACACUGCUUUACAUGGUAUCAGGGAUCAAAAUUAAAGCUUCCGCAUUAUAAGUUUUAAGCUUUGAUGAUCAUCAUCAGCGUUGGUGUUGGCGAUGUUGAAGAAGAUGGUGAUGAUACGGACGAUGAAGACAGCGUGGUAACGUGGGUGUGAGUCGCUGGGGUUUAGUAAAGUUAUUAGGUUUUGUUUUCUAUUUCUAAUUAGUUACGUGCAAUAGUUAUGGUUUAGACGGCUGAAUUAUCAAAAGUCCUAGUGGGUUUAUGAGUUUGUGGUUUCACAUGGGUUACUUUUGUUAGAGAUUUUCUAUAGUUUAGAAUUUCUCAGAGUUUAUGUUGUGAUUUCCCAUAGUUUGGGAUACGUUGAUUAUAGUUUAACCUUUACUGGGGAGUUUUAGUUAUGCUCAUGUUUUUUAGGUCAAUAUGUUUAGUCCAAGUUACGGACUGUCCGAGAUAAGACGAUUGUUUUUGGAGCUGCAGUUGCGCCAACGGGAUGUAUUCCCAUUGUCAAGACCAAAGAAGAGCUGAAGUUUUCAUCUCUCAUGUCCUAAGUUGAAGUUUAUUCCCGAAGGAAUCUACUGAUUUGUUUUCCUCGACAUAGUGUCCAUGACAUACGUGGUCUGCUUUGUGAUUGCAAAUUUGCGUGUUACAUCCCACGUUUGUCGUGCGGGGGAGUAUUAGAGAUAUGUUGGGCUGGAAGAUAUGUAUCUUACGGACCAAGACUGUGAAGCCCGUAAAACCCAUGAAGACCCUCAAGACUAAAAGGAAAGAUUUGAAGAACAAGCUACUCUCAAGAUAUUUUAGCAUAUUUACAUUAAGUGUUUAGGAAAGUUAGUAUUAUCUAGUGUUAACAUUAUGUUAAUGUUAUCACUAUAGUCUAUAUAUAUGCAUAUUGUAUUCUCUUAUCAAACACAACACAAUAAUAUAUCUAUCAAACAAUACGUGACAACACCUACAUUGUUAUCAUUGCAUCUGUCGCAGCUGAAUUAUGUGAAUCCACGAAGCAGCUUGCGCGAGCACAUAGAACAGGAGAUGCAAAUGAAUUCCACAUCCUACGGGUAACAUAAGUGAAACAUUUUCAUAUAAAUGUUUAAUGUAAUGUUUCUAUUUUUCAUAUUAUAUAUUAAUUUAAAAAUGUAAAACUAUAUUAACUUCAAAAUGUAAAACUAUACAUUUUCAGAUAGCUGUUUAAUGUGGUAUUUACAUUUUUU
rnacentral:lncRNA from 1 species